AUUGAACGCUGGCGGCAGGCCUAACACAUGCAAGUCGAGCGAGCGGCGGACGGGUGAGUAAUGUCUGGGAAACUGCCUGAUGGAGGGGGAUAACUACUGGAAACGGUAGCUAAUACCGCAUACCAUCCGAGGUCCCCAGAUGGGAUUAGCUAGCAGGUGGGGUAACGGCUCACCUAGGCGACGAUCCCUAGCUGGUCUGAGAGGAUGACCAGCCACGCGGGAGCUGAGACACGGUCCAGACGCCUACGGGAGGCAGCAGUGGGGAAUAUUGCACAAUGGGCGCAAGCCUGAUGCAGCCAUGCCGCGUGUAUGAAGAAGGCCUUCGGGUUGUAAAGUACUUUCAGCGGGGAGGCGUUACCCUCAGAAGAAGCACCGGCUAACUCCGUGCCAGCAGCCGCGGUAAUAC
rnacentral:rRNA from 1 species